GAUGAAGAACGCAGCGAAAUGCGAUACGUAAUGUGAAUUGCAGAAUUCAGUGAAUCAUCGAAUUUUUGAACGCACAUUGCACUCUCUGGUAUUCCGGAGAGUAUGCUUGUUUGAGUAUCUGUAAACAUCUCAAAUGUCUCUUCAAUUGCUUCAAUUGGGUCGAGAGAAUUGGAUUUGAGCGAUCCCGACUCCUUCGUCAGAAAGAGGAGGGUCGCUUGAAAUGCAGGUGCAGCUGGACAUUCUUCUGAGCAAAAAGCAUAUCUAUUUAGUCCCGUCAAACGGAUUAUUACUUUUGCUUCAGCUAAUAUAAAGGUUGAAUGAACUACCAACGCUGAUUGCAGGAAAACAUGUUCGUUUAUUCGGACUUGUAAACUCGAUCUCAAAUCAAGUAAGACUACCCGCUGAACUUAAGCAUAUCAAUAAGCGGAGGA
rnacentral:misc_RNA from 1 species